rnacentral:lncRNA from 1 species
AUGGCAGAGCCCAGGUCUGCCUGGAGGACCCACAUCCAUCAACAAUCCCAGCCAGGCUGCAGGACAGUAACCUGGUGGUGCAGCCCCACAGACCCAGCACAAGGCAACAGGAGCUUGGGGGACAGAAGGGGACUUGUGGGCAGGAGGAAAGAGAGGAAGGACUCGGAGGACACUCACAUACUGGCUGGGGGUCUGGAAAAGGCGGCAGGAGCAGAGGAAUUGGCAGCACAUAGGGUCCCGGUGGUACAAGAGCAGCAGCAGGAUGAGGAUCGCCACAAUGAAGACGGACGUGGACACCGCUGCCAAGAGACGGGAGAGGCGAGAGAGCCGGUGUUUCGACGGGCCCCGGGCCUCCCCCUGCCGCCCGCUCUCGCCCCGCGGCUGACGCUUGGAGAAGCCCCUGAGAAGCCGAUUCCACCUGCUGCCCGCCUCAAGAGCGCUAAAGCCCCUUUCUGCCCAGCAUCUCUCUCCCUACCAGACGAUGAACGACCUACAGAGCCAGGAGGGGCUCACCCCAUCCUGGACCGCGGCAGCAGGGACCGCUCCGCGGGGACGCGCACCGGCACCCACCGCCUCUGGCCCGGCGCUCUCGGCUCCCUCAGCACCACGGCCGGGCGCCGGUUCGCCGGUGUUGCGGUCUCCCGGGAGCCCGCGGCUCCCCCCGGCCCACCCGCGGAUCCGCGGAGCCCACCCGCCCCGCCAGCCAGCGGGACCCCCCGGGUUAGGACCGGCUGCUGCAGCGACCUCUCCCCCGCCGGUUCGUCCGCAGGUAUCGCCUUAUCGGCACAGCCCGGGAGGCACCGGCAGAGGCCGAUCCUGCCCGGCGGCCGCCCCCGCUUCGCUCCCGGCACCACCGGAGCCCCCGCCCGCCACUCACUGGCGGCGAUGACGAUGGCCAGGACGUUGUUGUCCAUGCUGGCGCUGGCGGUCGCGGUGUGGCCCGAGGCCUCCGCGGGCUGCGCCAUCCCGACCCCGCCGCCAGCCCCUGCCCGCCGCCCGCUCUCCACAGCCCGCGAGGGGCGGGCCGGGGCGGGGCCCGAGCGAGCGCGCUCGGCCGCGGCGCUCCCGGGG